UUAAAUUGAAGAGUUUGAUCAUGGCUCAGAUUGAACGCUGGCGGCAGGCCUAACACAUGCAAGUCGAACGGUAACAGGAAGCAGCUUGCUGCUUUGCUGACGAGUGGCGGACGGGUGAGUAAUGUCUGGGAAACUGCCCGAUGGAGGGGGAUAACU
rnacentral:rRNA from 1 species